rnacentral:lncRNA from 1 species
UCGUGCACUACCUCGCUCUCGAAUUUGAUUAUUAGUUUAUACACAUAUGUACAAUGUAGUACAUAUAUAUUAGAAAAGUAAAAAAGCAAUUUAAUAGUAGAAGGGUAAUUGAAAUACUAAAUUUGCACGAGAAAGCUUUAACAAUGUCUUAUUUAAUUUUUUUUCCUUUUUACAUUAACAAAAAACGCAUAAUAACAAGAAUAAAGACAACACUUCCCCUCUCUUAAUUUGCGUUGCGGCAAAUUCUAGCAGUUGGAUUUGUAACACAAACUUGAUAGUACUUCUUCUUGGCUUCCGGGGAGCCGCGCUUCGGCUCCUCGUCGGCCAUGGCGGCCUUUGCCACUGAGCUAGCGGCAACAGCCGCCAUGGCGAAGAACAACUCUCUCCGGCCACUGUUGUUGCUCUCUUUCUUGUAGCUCAUUACAACAUUUUCUCCCUCAAAUGGCACCUUUGAGCUUGCCUUCGCCAUGACAACCCCGCGGCGGUUCGCGGCCGGGACUUUGGUCAAGGCCGCGACGGAGCCGCCUGCCAAGGAGGUUGUCAUUGUCAUUGAAGCCAUUUGAUCAACUCAAAAAUUUUCCUAGUUUGAUUGCUUAUUACUUGCUUUCAGUUUUGUGCAAAGGAAUGGUUUGGCUUUGGUGUUAGUUAAAAAUAUGUAUACAUGUAAGAAACAAAAAGGAAAUAGUGAUUUCCAUAAGGUAUGUUAUCCAUUUUCUUAUCUAA